GUGCCCGUAACUCAGUGGUAGAGUGUGAGAUUGCAAUGCCGGGGUAAUCUUGAAGGCGCGUGUUCGAAUUACGCCGGGCACU